UGAAGAUUGUAUGCAUUCCUUCAUUUGUUCCUCCACAUUAAACCCUGGUCAUCCAUUGAUCUAACACAUUUCCUGAAUCCUAGAUUUCAAAAUAAGUAUCAACUAUUAGUUUGGGACCAAAAUUAUUUGGAAGCCAGUACAUGCAUCCAACUCAUAAGAAACUGAUUGGUUAUGGCUCCCAGAUCUAUGCAAACUUCUGGAUGAUUAGCAAACAUGGCAGCAGAUAUGCCUAAAAUUCUAGAUUUUAUUGCUAUCUUUUUGGCAUGUGGAUCUUUUCAGGCAGAUUUACUUGAUCCAAACUCUGAUGGCAUUUAAAAACUUGGAUUUCCCUCAGGCAUGAAGUCUUGAAGUUAGUGUUUUCUACAUCCUGAAAAGGGACAUUGGAAAAUAUUGCUCUUAGUGGAAGAUUGGCUCCAUUCAACAUUUCAUGCAAUAAAAAUAUUUCCACACCUAUGGAGACAGAUUGAUCAAGCUGUGACAGAGAUCCAAGGACGAUGCAGUCCCUCUGAGAUAGCCAUUUGUUGGUAUCAAAGCAGGAACACAAGUGUCUUGUUCAUGAUGGGAAGCAAGGCAAGCUAUGUUUUUGUAACCUUUUGCGCAGGAGGCUUUUUCUGUUGUUGUCAUUCCAUUCUUGUACACAGCCAGCCGCUGUGUAUCUUGGCAGAAUCAAGUCUGUUUCUGAGGGAAGAGAACUAUUUCUGUCCUUUAAUAAGUCAUUCCAAGUUUCCUGUGAUGUUAUAAAUAAGUGGGGCAAGCAGCCAGCUUUAUUUUGUUUAAUGUGAUAUGACAGAGAAAGAAAGCAGUCAAAAAACCCCAUCAAUCUCUACAUGCUGUAAUAUCUGGUGCUAGACUCUGAGAUUGCUUGCUCCCUUUCACAAGAUAAAGUUUAUCAUAAACUCUGCCUAUCAGCACAGCUGAUACGAGACCUUGCCU